CCUACGGGUGGCUGCAGUGGGGAAUAUUGGACAAUGGGCGAAAGCCUGAUCCAGCCAUGCCGCGUGUGUGAAGAAGGCCUUCGGGUUGUAAAGCACUUUCAGUGGGGAAGAAAGCCUUGGGGCUAAUACCCUCGAGGAAGGACAUCACCCACAGAAGAAGCACCGGCUAACUCCGUGCCAGCAGCCGCGGUAAUACGGAGGGUGCGAGCGUUAAUCGGAAUUACUGGGCGUAAAGCGCGCGUAGGCGGUCUGAUAAGCCGGUUGUGAAAGCCCCGGGCUCAACCUGGGAACGGCAUCCGGAACUGUCAGGCUAGAGUGCAGGAGAGGAAGGUAGAAUUCCCGGUGUAGCGGUGAAAUGCGUAGAGAUCGGGUGGAAUACCAGUGGCGAAGGCGGCCUUCUGGACUGACACUGACGCUGAGGUGCGAAAGCGUGGGUAGCAAACAGGAUUAGAUACCCGAGUAGUC
rnacentral:rRNA from 1 species